rnacentral:misc_RNA from 2 species
AACGCACAUUGCGCCCUCUGGUAUUCCGGGGGGCAUGCCUGUUCGAGCGUCAUUACAACCCUCAAGCUCUGCUUGGUAUUGGGUGUCACCGCAUUGGUGCACCUCAAAAUCAGUGGCGGUGCCACCUGGCUUCUAGCGUAGUAAUACUCCUCGCUAUGGAGUCAGUUGUGUACUUGCCAACAACCCCUAAUUUUAUAAGGUUGACCUCGGAUCAGGUAGGGAUACCCGCUGAACUUAA